rnacentral:rRNA from 1 species
UGCAAGUCGAGCGAACAGAUGAGAAGCUUGCUUCUCUGAUGUUAGCGGCGGACGGGUGAGUAACACGUGGGUAACCUACCUAUAAGACUGGGAUAACUCCGGGAAACCGGGGCUAAUACCUGAUAAUAUUUUGAACCGCAUGGUUCAAUAGUGAAAGACGGCUUCGGCUGUCACUUAUAGAUGGACCCGCGCCGUAUUAGCUAGUUGGUAAGGUAAUGGCUUACCAAGGCAACGAUACGUAGCCGACCUGAGAGGGUGAUCGGCCACACUGGAACUGAGACACGGUCCAGACUCCUACGGGAGGCAGCAGUAGGGAAUCUUCCGCAAUGGGCGAAAGCCUGACGGAGCAACGCCGCGUGAGUGAUGAAGGUCUUAGGAUCGUAAAACUCUGUUGUUAGGGAAGAACAAAUUUGUUAGUAACUGAACAAGUCUUGACGGUACCUAACCAGAAAGCCACGGCUAACUACGUGCCAGCAGCCGCGGUAAUACGUAGGUGGCAAGCGUUAUCCGGAAUUAUUGGGCGUAAAGCGCGCGUAGGCGGUUUCUUAAGUCUGAUGUGAAAGUCCACGGCUCAACCGUGGAAGGUCAUUGGAAACUGGGGAACUUGAGUGCAGAAGAGGAGAGUGGAAUUCCAUGUGUAGCGGUGAAAUGCGCAGAGAUAUGGAGGAACACCAGUGGCGAAGGCGGCUCUCUGGUCUGUAACUGACGCUGAUGUGCG